CCAGGACCUCGGGCCCCAGUGCAGGGACACAGGGAGGGCCCCUCCCUACAGAAAGGAGGGAAGGGCGGUGCAGGACGCAGCCAUGCCCACAAAAGGUGGCCUGCGAGACAGUGACAGAGGCGGGGACAUCAGGCAGGAGCAGGAUAAGGUUCAAGCCUGCAAUGGAAGGAGGUGAGGAACAAGAUGACAGGGCAAGGGCCAUCUCCAGUGGGGCCUUAGAGCUGGCCUGGGCCCAGCAGGGUGUGGCCCAAGACUCUGCCACCACAGGUCUCAAAUUUAGAGCCUCUCCCAGGCUCCGCCCUCCUACUACACCUGUCCCCAAGGGUGGCCUUCAGUCCAGCUGUCUCCAGGAAGCCACCACAUCCCCCACCCAGGAAGGGACCCUCCCAUCCCCUAACCCUGGGUCUCCUGGAUGCCAGAGGCUGCCAUGUGACAGCUGACCAGGAGCUGAGGGCAGGAGGGGCUGGCUCUGCAGGGCAGGGGCUCACCACAGCCCCAUCUUUCCCCACCUGUCCCCACCUGUGUCCUGUUCUCUCCUCUGGGCAGGCUGUUGCUCCAGUGACAACCUUCCUGAGGAUGUGCAGGCCCCUCUGCCCAGGUUGGAAACUAGUGCCAGCAGGGCAUGGCAGUGUGCCAAUAAUCCCAGCUACUCAGGAGGCUGAGGCAGAACAAUCAAUCCUAAUUCAGGCCAGUCUGGGCAACUUAAAUGAGACUCUGUGGUAAUAAUAUAAUAAUAAUUUGAAGAUGUAGCUCAGUGGGUAGAAUACCUAGAACUGCAAAAUGACUGAAUGAAAAGAGGAAGUCCUGAGCCCGGGAUCCAGCCCUGGCUAGAAAGUCAACCUACACAAUUUGUGCGGCCCAAUGCAAAAGGAAAAUUCAAGAUCCCUUGCUCAAAAAUGAUUUUCAGCCAGGCCUGGUGUUCCCAGCACUCUGGGAGGCUGAGGCAGGAGGAUCAAAAGUUUGAACUCAGCAAUUAUUGACUUAGUGAGACUCUGUUUCAAAAUUUACAAACUUUUAAAAAGGGCAUGGGGGCUGGGGAUAUAGCUCCAUGUGAAAGCCCUGGGUUCAGUCUCCAGUACUAUCACUGGGUAGGGUAUGUGAGGUCCCCAAGGCUGAAAUAAGGAACCUAACCCACCAUUUUCCAGUACGUUUGCAGGUUCGCUGACUCCCGUCACGGAAACAGUGUUCAGGUUUGUUAGAGAUGGAGAUGCAGGAUGCGCUGAAGAGCAGAGCGCAGACUGAGCAGUGAAGCAGUUUUUAUUUCUUCUGUCCUACAUCAUUACCACCAAAAACUAGAAGAAGAAGGAGGGGCAGGGGGUUAAGAAAGGAGGGGAAAUGAAGUCCUCAUCCAGCCAGUGUCCCUGUGGCAUCCUCUACAAAGUACUACUAAUGACAGAGGUGGGAGCUUCGAGGGCAAAUGAGACAGCAUGGAAGAACCACUUACUCAGGAGAGGCAGUACUGAUACCCUGAGAAACCAGUAAGUGUUAACUACGUUGUCCUGGCUACAAAGCUGGUUGGAGGCUCCCAAACCCAAGCCAGCCGGGAGCCACGCUCCAAACCAGGAUUCCGCAUCCAUCCACCCGUCCAGUACUGGCACCACCCGGAAACAGAAACAGCCCGUCUCGACCUUGCGGGGUGUGGGCUGUGUAAACCGAAGAGCGCUGUAUACAUAGCGACUGUGUUGAGUCCUCCGCGGCAGAAGGGAGAGGAGCCCGGUGAAGCUGGGCCAAGCGGAAAGCGAAGAGGCACUACCGGGGGAACAGGCUUCUCCCUGCUAGGAAGGGAAGUCCCUCAGCCGGACCCUGAUGGCCCCGAGCCUCCCCACUAGCGCUCUCCAGUUAACCCGGGCCUGUCCUCAGGGCCUCCUGCAACUGGCCG
ensembl:lncRNA